UUACGGCCAUAUCACGUUGAUACACCGGUUCUCGUACGAUUAAUGAAGCUAAGCAAAGUCGAGUCUGAUCAGUACCUAAAUGAGUGACCGCUUGGUAAUACCUAGUGCUAU